rnacentral:rRNA from 1 species
AUUGAACGCUGGCGGCAGGCCUAACACAUGCAAGUCGAGCGGGGUUUUCGGACCUAGCGGCGGACGGGUGAGUAAUGCGUAGGAAGCUACCCGAUAGAGGGGGAUACCAGUUGGAAACGACUGUUAAUACCGCAUAAUGUCUACGGACCAAAGUGUGGGACCUUCGGGCCACAUGCUAUCGGAUGCGCCUACGUGGGAUUAGCUAGUUGGUGGGGUAAUGGCUCACCAAGGCGACGAUCCCUAGCUGGUUUGAGAGGAUGAUCAGCCACACUGGAACUGAGACACGGUCCAGACUCCUACGGGAGGCAGCAGUGGGGAAUAUUGGACAAUGGGCGCAAGCCUGAUCCAGCCAUGCCGCGUGUGUGAAGAAGGCCUCGGUUGUAAGACACUUCUAGCGAGGAGGAAGGGUAGUAGUUAAUAG